rnacentral:lncRNA from 1 species
GGAGGCUGAAGCAGGAGAAUCACUUGAACCUGGGAGGGAGAGGUUGCAGUGAGCCGGGAUUGCACCACUGCACUCCAACCUGGGUGACAGAAUGAGACUCUGUCUCCAAAAAAGAAAAGAAAAGGAAUAAGGAUUGUAAAAAAAAAAAAAAAAAAAAAAGCAAAAAUUAUAGAUGUUAUGAUUGUAUACAGAAGGAAUUUUUAAAUCUAUAAUUAGAAUUAAUCUAUAAUUCAAGUUUCCUGGACUUCAAAAAAAUCAAUAUACAAAAAUCAAUGUGUUUAACAGCAACAAAGGGAAAAUUAUAUUUUAAAAGGACAGCCUUCAUAAUAUAAUUUUAAAAUACCAAAUUAUUCAGAAUUUAGUAACAGCUGAAUAAGUCUCUAAUGCAGAAAAAUAUAUAGUAUUAUUGACAGAAACCAAAGAAGAUCUCAGUAAAUAGAGUAAUAUAUGAUGUUCAUGGAUUUGAAAACUCAAUAUUACAAACACUGUCAGUUCUUCUCACAGUGAUAUACAGACUCAAUGUAAUUUCUAAUAAAAACCCAUGUAGCUAGGUGCUGUGGCUCACAUUAGUCUAUAAUCCCAGCACUUUGGGAGGCUGAGGCUGGAGGAUCGCUUGAGCCCAGGAGUUUGAGACCAGCUGGGCAACAUGACGAAACCACAUCUCACAUCUCUACAAAAAACAUAUAAAAAUUAGCUGAGCAUGGUGGCACACACCUGAAGUUGCAGCUACUCAGGAGGAUAAAGUAGGAGGCAUACCUGAGCCCAAGAGUUCAAGGCUGUAAUGAGUUAUGAUCAUGCCACUGCACUCCAGCCUGAGUGACAAAGCGAGAUGGAUUUUUUUCUAGAACUUGGUAAGAUAAUUUUUACGUUUACGUGGACAUGUGAAAGACCGAGAAGAGCUAGGUCACUACAGAGGAAGAAUGAAGUUAAAGAAAUUGCUCUAAAUUUCUGUGAAGUGGCACAGUAACGCAUUCCAGGAGGACAUCGCUGAGGGCCCCAAUUGUGAGGACAUUGCCCAUCAAUCUUGGAGCCUCCACACCAAGCUGGGAUUCUCUCUCUUCUGGACUUCAUAGCCUUCUGAGACCGCACUGGGGAGAACAGUAAGAGAGCUUUGUAAGGCCACUCUGGCUCCUCACCCACCUUUUCUGGGCUCACUCUUCUGAAGCCAUAGCUGACCUAAGCGACCCACCUGGGCUUUUAAGGUGGGCUACAUUCCCCCAGGCCCAGGAACUACAAAUGGGAGGCCAGGAGUGCUAUAUGCCGCAGCCAGAGGCGUCUGUGCUCCAAAAAGUCUUCUGAGUGGGCUUCUCAGCAGUGGAUGGGAACGUAGGGCAGUCUUCUCCUCCCCACACCACUCAAAACUGCAAUUUUACAAACCAAGAAUUAAAGCCUGGAAUACUCAGUGUCCUGUGGUCUCCCAAAGUGGGAGGAUCCUAAAGCAGGACGGGCUUCCCUUAGAAGCCAGGCAUAUUGGCAGGAGGUACCCAGGUAAACAAGCAACCUUGGGGCAAUGUUAAUCUGCUUUUUCUCUUCUUCGGUGUCUGGCUGAGUCUAAAUUGAAUUAUUAAUCUACUCCUGUGUGCCCGUGUCAUUUUCCAGACAACCAGUUUAUUCAUGACUCGCCCACUAUCAAUUUCAACAUGCAAUUUGCAAUGAAAUUUGACUGAUCAGCAAUACCAUAAUUAGUUGCAAAUGUCUGUGCUUGUAUUUGUUUGGUGUAGGGGCUUUUUCAUUAAAGUGACGGAGGCCCAUAAACACCAUGACUUGCUCUGGGACACAGGACUCGCAACAGUUAUGUCAUGGGCCAGGAUAGGAGCGCUGGCAAAGAGAUUGUGGGAGCUUGAAGUUGCAGCACCAGGGGUUGUGUUGUCAUCUUUACAGUCCUGUGUUCACCAAGAGUCAUCCAGGUUGGGCAAAUGGUGACAUGUGUAAUCCAUGAGGAGGAAGAGAACUGGAGUUACCCUGUGCGGCCUCUCCCUUAAAUCUCCCCAGAUCCUGCUGGCACACCUGCAGUAACAGGGGGCUUCCUACCUGGUGAGGCAGCUCCCCUUGUGAGAAAGUUCUUCCUUGCCUGGGUUCCCACUUGCCUGUUGUAGGUCCGUCCCACCUAGUCCAGGGUUCUGGUCUUAACUCAGAAAUCAUUACAUUGCCUGAGCUUGGGCCAGUCUCUAAGCCUCAGCUUAUUCAUCUGAAAAAAGUUGUCCUACCUCAAGGAUUUCUAACUGCAAGUAACAGAAAAUGGCUCUUAACUUAGGCAGAUUGACUAGCUGACUUAAGGAGAAAAAUAAUAAAGAUAUUGAGCAGCUCAGAGAAUCUCUGGACAGAGCAGAAAAAGCAGACCCAGGGACUACACAGCAAUGAGCAAGGCCCCAGAUCACACUGAAGAACUGGUUUAGUCAGGGCCUUGCUGCCAUCAUGGUCAUCACCGACACCAUGCUCUAGACUCUGCAGGCUAGGCUGCAGGGACCAUGUCCGUGCCCUCAGGUGCCACCACCUCUACCACCCUGAGGACGCCAGCCUGCUACACCCACAGUAACCAUUAAGGAGAGUUCUCUGUGUUCUCUGCUUCCUGGGGUCAUUAGCUCUUGGGUUAGUCUGGAGCUUGUGUGGUUGAUUGUGAGAGCCUAGGUCUUGUGCCCUUACCCAGCCACUGGGAGGCUGGCAAAAGAGUGCACAUGGUACUUGCAGCCUCUAAAGAGGGAAAUGGGCUCUGUCUCAGAGUGAAGGUAAUUUCCCAACACAGGAAGAGGGCUCAGAUCCUGGGUAGCCAAAAGAAAGAACAAAGAAUCAAAUAAGAUAUAGAUGUUAAAGAGGUUUUAGAAUAUAUUAAGCUUGGGGGCUGGACGCCAUGGCUCACACCUGGAAUCCCAGCACUUUGGGAGGCUAAGGCAGGAGGAUCACUUGAGGCCAGGAAUUGGAGGUUGCAGUGAGCUAUGAUCAUGCCACUGCGCUCCAGCCUGGGCAACAGAGCAAGACUUUGUCUCAAAAAAAACAAGAAGAAAGAGAAAGAGAGAGAAUAUCAAGCUCUACACACCUGCCAAAGAUUAUUCUUAUUCAUUCAUAAGUAUUUCUGCAGAUAUUAAAAGGGCAAAGUUGUGGUCCUUACCCUCAAAGAAAACACAGUACAUUCAGGGAGUAAGAAGGCAUGGGUCAGAUGACCCCCGUUCCAGGCAGAGGGUGAUGACUCUUGUGGAUUCUGAAUGUCCAGAUUACAUGGUGAUUAACUAUGAAACACUAGGUCUCAGAGGGGUGGGCAGUAUCUGGAGGCUUCUGGGACAGCCCAACAUUUUCUUGGAGUUGGGUGGUAUGUCAUAUGCUCUCUGUAUCCUGUGCAUCAGUACACCGAUGUCCUAUAUAGACCCAGACCAGAAGAAUCCUGCCCAUACAUGACUGUUUCCUAUUGAUAGCUGUUGUCAUUUCUCUGCUUAGUACCCACUCCCCCUCUUCUGGUAAUAGCACCCCAAUUUUACCUGGGGAACUACUCUUGUCAUUUUCAGCUCAUGUACUUCAGGUGGAAUUAAUUCCAUGGCGUAAGAGUCACAGGUGAAUCAAGCCUGGCUAAUCAGAGCUGUAUAGCGCAUUAUGCACUAUGCAGAGCUGCACAGUGGUUGGUUUAGGGAUGGGCAUGGGACCCAAGCCAAGCCAUGAGGUCCAAUCAGAGCGAAUAUCAGAUAUUCAAGUGGACAGAAAAAGAUGCUCUUCUUUCUCUUGGACUUGGAGAUGUGAGAGCAUCAGCAGCUGCUGACAGCUGUCUUGCCACCAGAGUCUGAGAACAAGGCCAACUCUAAAGAAAGCAGAAGUGAAAAAUGGCCUGGUCCAAUGAUAUUUUUGAGCCCCUGGAUCAAACUGUGCCUGAAGCCCCAGAAUAUUUCCAUUAUGUAAACAAAACCAACCAACAAAUAAAUAGGUCUCUUGCUUAAACCAAUUUGGAUGAGUUUUAUAUCACUUGCAGCUAAAAAUGUUCUAAUUGGCUCUCACCCACACACCCUGUCAAAGCACCAGCCUAGAGCCAACUCCUUGGGAAUGUCCAUAAUGAAAUCACCAGAGGGUCUUCUCUCUGGUCCAGUAGUUCUUCAGAGCCCCAGGGUAAGGCAAGUCCCCCGCUAUCUUCCCACUAUACAAAAGAGAAGACG